UGCGCGGUGCCCGAGAUGGCCGAAAGGACUGGACGAAGGGCGAGGCCGCUAUAAACUUUUCAGUGGGGCGCGCCUCCGAUACUGGAUUGUCCCUGGGUUCGAAUCCCAGCCGCGCAACCA
rnacentral:tRNA from 1 species